rnacentral:rRNA from 1 species
GUCCACGCCCUAAACGAUGCGAACUGGAUGUUGGGUGCAAUUUGGCACGCAGUAUCGAAGCUAACGCGUUAAGUUCGCCGCCUGGGGAGUACGGUCGCAAGACUGAAACUCAAAGGAAUUGACGGGGGCCCCGCACAAGCGGUGGAGUAUGUGGUUUAAUUCGAUGCAACGCGAAGAACCUUACCUGGCCUUGACAUGUCGCGAACUUUCCAGAGAUGGAUUGGUGCCUUCGGGAACGCGAACACAGGUGCUGCAUGGCUGUCGU